rnacentral:rRNA from 1 species
AACGAACGCUGGCGGCGUGCUUAACACAUGCAAGUCGAACGCGAAAGGGACUUCGGUCCUGAGUAAAGUGGCGCACGGGUGAGUAACGCGUGGAUAAUCUACCCGACGGACCGGGAUAACAUUUCGAAAGGGGUGCUAAUACCGGAUAAGACCACGGCUUCUUAGGGGGCUGCGGUAAAAGGUGGGGACCUUCGGGCCUACCGUCAUCGGAUGAGUCCGCGUACCAUUAGCUAGUUGGUAGGGUAAGGGCCUACCAAGGCGACGAUGGUUAGCUGGUCUGAGAGGAUGAUCAGCCACACUGGAACUGAGACACGGUCCAGACUCCUACGGGAGGCAGCAGUGGGGAAUUUUGCGCAAUGGGGGAAACCCUGACGCAGCAACGCCGCGUGAGUGAUGAAGG